rnacentral:rRNA from 1 species
UACGGAGGGGACUAGCGUUGUUCGGAAUUACUGGGCGUAAAGCGCACGUAGGCGGAUUUGUAAGUCAGGGGUGAAAUCCCGGGGCUCAACCUCGGAACUGCCUUUGAUACUGCAAAUCUCGAGUCCGGAAGAGGUGAGUGGAAUUCCUAGUGUAGAGGUGAAAUUCGUAGAUAUUCGGAAGAACACCAGUGGCGAAGGCGGCUCACUGGUCCGGUACUGACGCUGAUGUGCGAAAGCGUGGGGAGCAAACAGG